UGGGGGACAACGUUUCGAAAGGAACGCUAAUACCGCAUACGUCCUACGGGAGAAAGCAGGGGACCUUCGGGCCUUGCGCUAUCAGAUGAGCCUAGGUCGGAUUAGCUAGUUGGUGAGGUAAUGGCUCACCAAGGCGACGAUCCGUAACUGGUCUGAGAGGAUGAUCAGUCACACUGGAACUGAGACACGGUCCAGACUCCUACGGGAGGCAGCAGCA
rnacentral:rRNA from 1 species